rnacentral:misc_RNA from 1 species
AACCUAGCACACCUGCGGUGUGUACCUGCGGAGGGAUCAUUAACCUUUCAAAUCAGGGUGCGGCGCGGCCCCCGAGGAGCGGAAACAAUCCUUGGGAGGUAUGCGGGGGCUUCGAGCCCCCCAUUUACGCACGCACGACUGCCACCCUUACUUUACGAGCACCUUCUGUUCUCCCUCGGCGGGGCAACCUGCCGUUGGAACCGAAUAAACUCUUUUUGCAUCUAGCAUUACCUGUUCCGA